rfam:Bradyrhizobium sp. BTAi1, complete genome.
AGAUUUAGCCCUUCUUGGGGCGUUUCCUCCCUGGACUUGGGCCGCCUGUACGUCCUGUGCAGGCGGCUUCUUUCUUUGUCAGU